rnacentral:rRNA from 1 species
GAUGAACGCUGGCGGCGUGCCUAAUACAUGCAAGUCGAGCGAACGGACGAGAAGCUUGCUUCUCUGAUGUUAGCGGCAGACGGGUGAGUAACACGUGGAUAACCUACCUAUAAGACUGGGAUAACUUCGGGAAACCGGAGCUAAUACCGGAUAAUAUUUUGAACCGCAUGGUUCAAAAGUGAAAGACGGUCUUGCUGUCACUUAUAGAUGGAUCCGCGCUGCAUUAGCUAGUUGGUAAGGUAACGGCUUACCAAGGCAACGAUGCAUAGCCGACCUGAGAGGGUGAUCGGCCACACUGGAACUGAGACACGGUCCAGACUCCUACGGGAGGCAGCAGUAGGGAAUCUUCCGCAAAGGGCGAAAGCCUGACGGAGCAACGCCGCGUGAGUGAUGAAGGUCUUCGGAUCGUAAAACUCUGUUAUUAGGGAAGAACAUAUGUGUAAGUAACUGUGCACAUCUUGACGGUACCUAAUCAGAAAGCCACGGCUAACUACGUG